rnacentral:rRNA from 1 species
UCCGUAGGUGAACCUGCGGAAGGAUCAUUACAGUAUUCUUUUUGCCAGCGCUUAAUUGCGCGGCGAAAAAACCUUACACACAGUGUUUUUUGUUAUUACAAGAACUUUUGCUUUGGUCUGGACUAGAAAUAGUUUGGGCCAGAGGUUUACUGAACUAAACUUCAAUAUUUAUAUUGAAUUGUUAUUUAUUUAAUUGUCAAUUUGUUGAUUAAAUUCAAAAAAUCUUCAAAACUUUCAACAACGGAUCUCUUGGUUCUCGCAUCGAUGAAGAACGCAGCGAAAUGCGAUAAGUAAUAUGAAUUGCAGAUUUUCGUGAAUCAUCGAAUCUUUGAACGCACAUUGCGCCCUCUGGUAUUCCAGAGGGCAUGCCUGUUUGAGCGUCAUUUCUCUCUCAAACCUUCGGGUUUGGUAUUGAGUGAUACUCUUAGUCGAACUAGGCGUUUGCUUGAAAUGUAUUGGCAUGAGUGGUACUGGAUAGUGCUAUAUGACUUUCAAUGUAUUAGGUUUAUCCAACUCGUUGAAUAGUUUAAUGGUAUAUUUCUCGGUAUUCUAGGCUCGGCCUUACAAUAUAACAAACAAGUUUGACCUCAAAUCAGGUAGGAUUACCCGCUGAACUUAAGCAUA